GACAGAGGGUGCAAGCGUUGUUCGGAAUCAUUGGGCGUAAAGGGCUCGUAGGCGGCCAACUAAGUCAGACGUGAAAUCCCUCGGCUUAACCGGGGAACUGCGUCUGAUACUGGAUGGCUUGAGUUUGGGAGAGGGAUGCGGAAUUCCAGGUGUAGCGGUGAAAUGCGUAGAUAUCUGGAGGAACACCGGUGGCGAAGGCGGCAUCCUGGACCAACACUGACGCUGAGUGAGCGAAAGCCAGGGGAGCAAACGGG
rnacentral:rRNA from 1 species